ACUGGGCGAGGUGGCAUGUGCCUGUAGUCCCAGCUACUCGGGAGGCUGAGGUGGGAGGAUCGCUUGGGCCCAGGAGUUCUAUGCUGUAGUGUGCUACGUCAAUCAGGUGUCCUCACUAAGUUCGGCAUCAAUAUAGUGACCUCCCGGGAGUGGGGGACCACCAGGUUGCCUAAGGAGGGGUGAACCGGCCCAGGUCGGAAACGGAGAAGGUCAAAACUCCUGUGCUGAUCAAUAGUGGGAUUGUGCCUGUGAAUAGCCACCGCACUCCAGCCUGGGCUACAUAGCAAGACCCCGUCUCU
rnacentral:SRP_RNA from 1 species